rnacentral:rRNA from 1 species
GACGAACGCUGGCGGCGUGCUUAACACAUGCAAGUCGAGCGGAAAGGCCACUUCGGUGGUACUCGAGCGGCGAACGGGUGAGUAACACGUGCGUAAGCUGCCCCUGGCUUUGGGAUAGGCACCGGAAACGGUGAUUAAAACCGGAAAUGACACAUUCUCGCAAGAGGUUGGGUGGAAAGUUUUUCAGCCAGGGCUGUGCUCGCGGCCUAGCAGCUUGCUGGUGAGGUAAUGGCUGCCCAGGGCUUCGACGGGUAGCCGGCCUGGGAGGGUAGACGGUCACAAUGCUCCUGCGGCACGGCCCAGUCUCCUACGUUAGGCAGAAGUCGGGAGUCUUACCCAGUGAGCCCAAGCCUGUUCCGGCGACCCCGCGUGAGGAAUGCCCUCUUUCUGGUUGUGAACCUCUUUCAGUACCGACGUAGCGCUAGUGACGGUACCUACAGAAGAAGCACCGGCUAACUACGUG